rnacentral:rRNA from 1 species
UACGAAGGGGGCUAGCGUUGUUCGGAAUUAUUGGGCGUAAAGAGCUCGUAGGCGGUCUGUCGCGUCGGUCGUGAAAACUUGGGGCUUAACCCUGAGCUUGCGGUCGAUACGGGCAUGACUGGAGUUCGGCAGGGGAGACUGGAAUUCCUGGUGUAGCGGUGAAAUGCGCAGAUAUCAGGAGGAACACCGGUGGCGAAGGCGGGUCUCUGGGCCGAUACUGACGCUGAGGAGCGAAAGCGUGGGGAGCGAACAGG